GGCGCCGCUCGGCUCCCCUAGGGUGCGCAAGCGCGGCUCGCCACUCGUGCGCCCCGGAGAACCUGGAUGCCCCCGCCCCCCUAAGGAUCUGCACUGCUGCCACGCCCCUCCAGGCCCCCCUCGGGCCUCGCCCUCCGCGGGAGAACCGGACGCCUGCGGGCUCAGCAUGAACUUCGCAGCCCGGAUUUCGGGCACCCCUGUCGGCCUCGGGGCGUUCCUUUCCUAGGGGACCACGCCUCCUCCCGGCCACUUUCCCUGCGCGUCCGCUCCCGGGGUAAAGGGCAUCCUUCCUGGGCGGGAUCCACCGGCGGCGCGGAGCUCCCUGGGUCACAGCCCUUCGCCGAUCCCCGGGAGGCGUCCGGCCGGCAGCGGCGCGCAGCCCACUUUGCUGAAAGAACUGUGCAGCGGGAGCGACCAUGUCGGGGCCCCGCCCCUGGGAGGGGCCGGGCCACGCCACGCCUCUGUCUCUCUUAAAGGGGCCGCAUCCCAUUACACCGGGACCAUCGAAUUUCUACCACCAUCCACCCGGCGGGAACCAGAACCCCCUGCAACACACGUGGCUCUUAGGGGUGCCGGGACCCCGUCACCCCGUCUCGUUACCGCUCUCCACGUGCAAAGUGAACAGACGAAACCCGGGACACAGACCUUGUCGGUUUAUGUAGAAAGAAGUGGGGAGCUGGGCGGUAAGAGCGCAGGGAACGGGGGUGCCUACAGGCCGAUGACGUCGUCCGGCUUGAGGUCCGCGUUGGCAAGGCAGCGGGCCCGGGGGUGCUGCGCCUCGGGGCCGGGGUCCACGUCCGGCUGAUCGGAAGAGCAUCGUGCCACCCCGACUCGGGGCCUGCUCCCCCCGCCCCAGGGCUCACCAGGUCACCAGCUGCCUCGCCCACGCUCCACGCUCCCGGGUCUGGGCUCCCGACCCGAGGCCACCCUCCACACAGCACCUUGCUACCUGCCCCUUCAGAACCGUGUGCCACUCAAACUGCUCACCAGUUUCAGGGCGAGCUCCAAACUCUUCUAAGUGGACUCAAGGCUGUUCGUCAUGCCGCAGAGGAGGCCCCCCAGCCUCAGCUCUCACUUCUGUUUUGCUCCAAACGCGAAGGCUGCAGUCACACCACAAACACACACACACACACACACUCAG
rnacentral:lncRNA from 1 species